rnacentral:misc_RNA from 1 species
ACAUCUCUUAUUAUUAUGUGUGUUGUUACUUAUGCUAUAUAUUUCAAUUUUACAGUCUCAUACUCUCACUUGUAUCUUAUACUUAAGCUACAGGUAUGCACUAUUUUCAAUCUCUUAUUUUAGAUAUAAAUAGUGUAAAUAAUUAUUUAUUUUCUUUUUAAUAUGUUUUUUUAAUUAUCAACUAUUUAAAUGUGUGUGUGUGUGCAUAUGUAUAUAAUUUAAACAAUUAAAGUUAUGGCGCCUUGCUUCAAAAAG